rnacentral:rRNA from 1 species
AGAGUUUGAUCCUGGCUCAGAUUGAACGCUGGCGGCAUGCCUUACACAUGCAAGUCGAACGGUAACAGGUCUUCGGAUGCUGACGAGUGGCGAACGGGUGAGUAAUACAUCGGAACGUGCCCGAUCGUGGGGGAUAACGAGGCGAAAGCUUUGCUAAUACCGCAUACGAUCUACGGAUGAAAGCGGGGGAUCUUCGGACCUCGCGCGGACGGAGCGGCCGAUGGCAGAUUAGGUAGUUGGUGGGAUAAAAGCUUACCAAGCCGACGAUCUGUAGCUGGUCUGAGAGGAUGAUCAGCCACACUGGGACUGAGACACGGCCCAGACUCCUACGGGAGGCAGCAGUGGGGAAUUUUGGACAAUGGGCGAAAG